GGGGACUGCCCCCCCCAAGAAACGAAAACCCCCCUGUAAGACUUGAAAAUCAUAACAGAGGUCUCCGGUGGGAUUGCUUCUUCACAUAGGAAGAAGAUCUGUGUGAAAGAGACAUCAUCCUGUAGCAGCUGCAGUUGAGUUUCCUGCUUUAUCCUUUGUAACCUCUGGAGGAGUUAGGACAUAUUAGACUAGGUAGAAAAAGGAUUUUACUGUUAUGGCAAUUUCUGUGUCCUAGCAUAAAGUGGUAUAAGUUUGUAGUCAUGUUGGUCUAAUGACAUAGGCUGACAAGGUUCUUUGGGUAAACUCGAUAUCUUUUAUUAGACCAACUAAAAUAGUUGGAAAAAUUAUCUGCAAGCUUUCAGGUACAAACAGCUCUCAUCAGGCUGAGGAAAUGUCUCCAGUUGGUCUGUGCUCUUCCUGGAUGGAACAGAAUCCAGGAAGAGCAGAGAUGAACUGCAGAUGCUUCCUCAGCCUGACAAAGGGUGUUUGUACCCAAAAGCUUGCAAAGAAGAAUUUUUCUCAACUAUUUAGUUGGUCUAAUAAAAGAUACCGGAUUUACCCACAAUCUGUGAAAGGUUAUUGGAUGGUGACAUCCCUUAAUAAAUUGGGCACAUAUCUUUCUUGGAGAUGCUCUUUAUUGCCGUAAAAGGCAAGUUAAUCACAAGAUACUGGGAAUCAUGAAAGACCUAUGGGAUGCCCAUAUUUCCACAACAUGGAAUCAUAGAGGAUACAUAGCAGUAUAGCAAACUUGACAAGGGGCUCUAUGGUCUGGAAAGAUUAAGAACCUCCCUUUUAAGUAAAGCCACCAAAAUUAACGUGUGAUUUUACUGCUAUUCUUGAAAGGCUUAAUAAAAACUGCAAAUCUCUAUAAAAUUCCACUCCUGGUUUUUCAAUAGCUCUAUCAAGUGGGACAACACAAUGUUUCAUUUUCAUGCAAAUUAAAAAAGGUUUCCUUUAAGGAAGUACAGGAAAAUGUUUCAAAGACUCUAAAUUUGUAGUCAAAUUUGAUACAACCAUGAUUGCAAUAUAAUUGACUUUUUUGGAUUAAAUUAGAUGUCUUACAUUUAAAGGUAUUCUUCUCUCCACCCUAUUCAAUUAAGGGCAUCCUCCUGUGUCUAGAACAACUCACUGCCAAAUUGGUGCUAAUUCCGAAGUGAAUUAGCACUUGAAAAUGGAUUACUAAAUUGUUGAGUUGAUUUAUGCUGUAUAGGAAAUAAGCAACUAAAAAGAGUGUAUCAUUCUAUAAAGAUUACAUGAACUUUUGAGGCUGAUAGAGUCCAAUGUUUCUGUUGUAAUGUCUUAACCCCUACGUAGCUAUAUAUAGUCCUAAUAAGAUAAUUAACUGGUAACAUAGGCCCAGCCCUGAAAACUCACUCGUAUGAAUAAGUCAAUUGAGCCAUAAUUUAAAUUGAAAUCACUUUAAAAAGGGUCAUAUAAAACUUAGCAGCCCCUCCCCCACCCCAUGACCGGCACCCUGCGCUGCAGUGUCUCAGCCCGCCUGGGGCUGCCUGUGCCUGCUCAGAACAGCCCUGCACAGGCUGCAAGCAGCCGCAGCAGGGAGCGUGGGCCACAGGGUGGGCAAGGGGCCACUUUUCUCCACGCUCCUUCCCUGCCCUUCCCCCCACACCCCCCUUACCUGAGGUUCUGACCUGGUCCCAGGCCAGAAGCCCUAGCAAGGGCAAGGCCAGGCACGCCCUUGCGGAAGCCCACCAAGCUUCCCCUGAGUCCUACUGCCCCUGGUUCCUGUCAUUUUUUACAGGAACCAAAGACAGAGAAAUAUUAAUUGUCUAAAUUUUUUAGGGGCCCCACGGGUUGGAUACAAUGGCCUUGCAGGCCGAAUCCAGCCUGCAGGCUGUAUUUUGCCCACCCCUGCCAUAAACCCAAAUCACCUUUGUUUUGAAAAGUAAAUAUUUGCAGGGGCAAUCACUAAAGCAUUUAGAUCAGCACAGUAGCCAUCACAGGGCACAAGGAAAUGCAAUCUGAAGUAGGCAGGUUGUCAGACCAUUUAGACCAGAUCAAAUAUUGGACAAUAAGACUGAUGUUGUAUAAGAAUGAACUACUAAUAAUCUAAACUAUGAAAAAGAUUGAAUUGGGGUUUUUUGCUAUAUAUAUUAAAGUGUAUUAAACAGUGUUGUGCUUAUCUAAGAAGUAGUUCUGGGAAGCACUGUGUUUCAGUCAGGAGCUGUGUCUUUUGGAGUUCCUAGGAAGUGAAGACCCUGCAGCAGUUCCCAACAGGGUGCCCAUGGGCACCAUGGAUAAAACUUAAAAAUAAUACAAAGUAAAAGGAAGCUGUAUUUUGAAGUUGUGGAUCUAAUGCAAUUUUAAGUAAUGGAUGAGAUUAUCGGAUUGAUCUAAAUUCUAAACUUUAAUAUUCGUAUUGGCGCCCACUGCUUUUAAAUUCAAAUGUGCACAUAACCAUUGGGAACCCCUGCCCUAGGGGAUUCUCUCUUAGAGAAUAAGUUGUCUGUGUCUACCCAUCUGUGUCUAGUCUAUUGUAUUGGCCAGUAGGAAGGAUGUGUUGUACUAUUGUUUUCCCUUUGUCCCUUACUGACUUGAACUGUGUCAGUUCUUAUGCUCAGGAGAAAACAAGAAUUAUGGUUGUAUCUGGCUGGUUGUGUGUACAGGGAAGGUUUAGUUUAGAUCUGAUACCUUAAUUUCAUUUCAUUUUUGAUGAGUGGCAUUAGAAAACAUGCAUAGUGAAUGGGUAUGAUGCACAUGUGAAACCAUUGCUUUAACACCUCUCUAUCUUAAUUGCUAAUUACCCAAUGACUGCUAAAAUUAAUCAACAAUGAGACAUGCAUACAGACAAAGAAACUGUAACAAGAAAAUAUUCCUCAGCACAUUUUUUGCCAAUUAAUAAAACAGCUACAUCAUUUUGGCA